GCGGCAGUCGCGGUGCGGAGGAACCCACCCUUCCCGCUGGGAUGGAGAUGUUCUCGCUGAAUUCCCUCAAAGGAGCUGCUGCCUCUGCACAGGCUUGGCUGGAGGGGCAGGUCCAGCCCAGCUCCCCCCAGGAGCUGCCAAAGCUGGGAGGUGGCUCUGGAGAUCCUGCCUGUGCUGGCUAAUGCUGCUCUCUGCAAAAUACAGAUACCUGGAAUCGGCGACUUCUGGAAUUUUUUAAAUAAAUGGAGUCUUCACCGCUC